AUUGAACGCUGGCGGCAGGCCUAACACAUGCAAGUCGAACGAGUGGCGGACGGGUGAGUAAUGUCUGGGAAACUGCCUGAUGGAGGGGGAUAACUACUGGAAACGGUAGCUAAUACCGCAUCCCAUCGGAUGUGCCCAGAUGGGAUUAGCUAGUAGGUGGGGUAAAGGCUCACCUAGGCGACGAUCCCUAGCUGGUCUGAGAGGAUGACCGGCAACACUGGAACUGAGACACGGCCCAGACUCCUACGGGAGGCAGCAGUGGGGAAUAUUGCACAAUGGGCGCAAGCCGGAUACGGCCAUGCCGCGUGUAUGAGGAGGGCCUUCGGGUUGUAAAGUACGUUCAGCGGGGAGGCGUUACCCGCAGAAGAAGCACCGGCUAACUCCGUGCCAGCAGCCGCGGUAAUAC
rnacentral:rRNA from 1 species